UACCAGGCCAAAUAUCAAUAGCACUGAGUGGCGGACAGCUUUCAAAGCUCUCUUGUUUCUUGCUUCAGAUAUGAGUCCUAUUGAAGCAAGCAGGCAGAAAGGGUUCAUUACCAUUUCCUGAAUCUCAAGAGAAAGCAGGAUUCCAACGCCAUACCUACAGCAACUAGAAAGAAAAAAUUUCUAUCCCUAGACAGAACAUGCCAGUGAUGACUUGAAUAACAAGAGGAGAAAUUCUGUCCUGCAGGCUGCCCAUCUCGUUUUGGAAAAAUAAUCAAAAGAAAUCCAUACCAAGGAAGAUUGCUUUGUAUUACCCAGGUGCAUGCAUAAUCCUCAUUCAUGAGAAGAAACUUGGGAUCAAAGUGCAAUAACAGAAAGAGAGCAAGUCAGAAGAAGGACUUGCAUCUUCUAAUGACAAGGAGAUGGUAAAUGGAACUUCCUACUGAAUGCUGGGAUGGUUCUACACUUUUUCAAAGGGAGAUAACUGUACACAUUUGCAGGGGAGCUGGAGCCUUCAGAAGGCAAAUGUUACUUGAGAAAUCAUAUUUAUGAAUCUGAGCUCAUAGAUUUGUCUUUUGAGGAUAACAGUAUUGGUGUUGUUUUUUUUUCGACUGUGACAAAUUAGCUAGAGGAAGAAAAAUUAUUUUUCACAGUGCUUUAGCCACCUCUUUCUUUACAUUUCCUCAUAUAUGGUAGACAAAUGUAGAUUUUACUUGGGAAUAAUGGAGUUAACAACCACCAAGACUGCCUCUGAGUUUUAAUUCACUCCUGCAAAAACAUUAGAGCUGCCACUGCCUGCAGGCGUAUUUAGUUGCAUUUUCACCAGUAUACUAACACUUGAAUCCCUGUAGUACUUCCUCCCCUCAUUACUCUGGAUUUCUCUUCUACAGCUGGUUUCAGAACUGCUGGGUUAUGCAUAAUGAUAUGGAGCUCUUCCUCUUGAAAAACUAGGUCGAGAUGUAAAGUGAGUAUCUCUGUGCUUUUGAAAACUGCGUAUGAUGCAAAAGCUCAGCACAGUUGUUUAUAGUAUGUGGUUACAACACACAGCCUGAAAGUAUGUGUUUUUGUUAGUUCUCACUUGCCUGUAUUCUAGUCACACUCUUUUUUCUCGCUCUCUUAUCUGGGUGUAGCAAGCUGUGCACAACAGCAAAGCAGUUCGCUGGUAGCAACAGCAAGAUCACUCAGUUGUAAUAUUUGGCUCCUGGGGAAAGCAACAGCAAGGAGAUCUUGGUCAGUCGAUGUGUGCUCUCUCUUUUUCUCCCUCUCAAACUGUCACCAUGAUAGUAAAAGGAUCCAGAGACAAAGGAAAAAUCCCCACUCAAAGAAAAUACUUUGUGUACUUUUCCAUCUUGUGAUUCAUACUGCCAUACCAUCACACGCUCCAAAACAUCAGUUGGUCUGUGCUCUACUUGUCAUUUAGUAGUGAAGCAGUUCAGACAGAAACACGGACCCUGCAGAUUUCAGUAUGGCUCAGUGCUGGAAAAUCUUGCACACCUCAAGUAGUCUCAGAAACAUUUCUUUUACUUAUAUAAAGGUACCUUGAGCUUGAAGCUAUGCAUUCACAUGAAAUAGCAUGGUAUGAAUGAUAAAUGAAUAAUGCUUAGCAAACUAAUAAACAAUACAUCCAAAAGACAUACUGUUAAAGUAAGACUCACAUUGAUGUAUAUGUACAGUGGUUCUCUCUCUUGUACUUUUUAAAACAGAUGAUCUUUUGAUAAAUAACAAGAUUUUGCAGUGACAGAAUUAUCUCCAGUCUAAAUUGUCAUUUGAUUGUUUCAUGGCUCAGAACUUCACCUAUUGACAUAAAUAUUAUCACAUAACUCACUCCGUGCAUGUUAAAUGGGAUUUUCUUGCAAAGAUUAUAUCAUAUAACUACUGUGACAGUUCAACUGUCUAAUCAGGUACAGCAAAUCUUACUUCUCACAUUCUUCACCUUUCAAGAAGAAAACUACUAAUAUUUAAACAUAUGACAACUGUUCGAUGACAUUUAAUUGCAUGGUCGAUUAUUUCUGCCAGUGGCUGGUUCAAAGUGGUAAGUGAAAGUAGUACUCCAAAGAACCUCAUAAUAAUCAGUUAUGAAAUUACCUAACAGAAAAGAAAACUUUGCUGCUUACUUCAUUAAUCUGUGACUCAUUCACUGCCUACAAAAUGAAAGACAACUCAUUCAAGAAACAGAAAAAAAUGUUGGUUGCCAUAGGACAUCUAUGGAAAAGUAUUUUCAUUUGGAUAAGGGUACUGUAGAUUUUAGUGGCUACUUGGAUAGCUCUUUUUCAUGAGUUUAUUUCUUCUAUUACAGUAAUCAAAGCUGUUGUCUCUACUCUGUGGAGGAAUGCUCAGCUGAAAAAUAUUUUAUCUUUCUUUAAUAGCUAGCAACAGCUUUUUCUUUUGUUUUGUUUAUUUAUAUAAUUUGUUUAGCAUAAUUUUUUCCCUUAG
ensembl:lncRNA